CUACGGGCUGCUGCAGCGGGGAAUAUUGCACAAUGGGCGCAAGCCUGAUGCAGCCAUGCCGCGUGUAUGAAGAAGGCCUUCGGGUUGUAAAGUACUUUCAGCGGGGAGGAAGGGAGUAAAGUUAAUACCUUUGCUCAUUGACGUUACCCGCAGAAGAAGCACCGGCUAACUCCGUGCCAGCAGCCGCGGUAAUACGGAGGGUGCAAGCGUUAAUCGGAAUUACUGGGCGUAAAGCGCACGCAGGCGGUUUGUUAAGUCAGAUGUGAAAUCCCCGGGCUCAACCUGGGAACUGCAUCUGAUACUGGCAAGCUUAAGUCUCGUAGAGGGGGGUAGAAUUCCAGGUGUAGCGGUGAAAUGCGUAGAGAUCUGGAGGAAUACCGGUGGCGAAGGCGGCCCCCUGGACGAAGACUGACGCUCAGGUGCGAAAGCGUGGGGAGCAAACAGGAUUAGAUACCCCAGUAGUC
rnacentral:rRNA from 1 species